rnacentral:rRNA from 1 species
GCUGGCGGCGUGCCUAAUACAUGCAAGUCGAACGCUUCUUUCCUCCCGAGUGCUUGCACUCAAUUGGAAAGAGGAGUGGCGGACGGGUGAGUAACACGUGGGUAACCUACCCAUCAGAGGGGGAUAACACUUGGAAACAGGUGCUAAUACCGCAUAACAGUUUAUGUCGCAUGGCAUAAGAGUGAAAGGCGCUUUCGGGUGUCGCUGAUGGAUGGACCCGCGGUGCAUUAGCUAGUUGGUGAGGUAACGGCUCACCAAGGCCACGAUGCAUAGCCGACCUGAGAGGGUGAUCGGCCACACUGGGACUGAGACACGGCCCAGACUCCUACGGGAGGCAGCAGUAGGGAAUCUUCGGCAAUGGACGAAAGUCUGACCGAGCAACGCCGCGUGAGUGAAGAAGGUUUUCGGAUCGUAAAACUCUGUUGUUAGAGAAGAACAAGGACGUUAGUAACUGAACGUCCCCUGACGGUAUCUAACCAGAAAGCCACGGCUAACUACGUGCCAGCAGCCGCGGUAAUACGUAGGUGGCAAGCGUUGUCCGGAUUUAUUGGGCGUAAAGCGAGCGCAGGCGGUUUCUUAAGUCUGAUGUGAAAGCCCCCGGCUCAACCGGGGAGGGUCAUUGGAAACUGGGAGACUUGAGUGCAGAAGAGGAGAGUGGAAUUCCAUGUGUAGCGGUGAAAUGCGUAGAUAUAUGGAGGAACACCAGUGGCGAAGGCGGCUCUCUGGUCUGUAACUGACGCUGAGGCU